AGGCUAGAGGCAGACACUUGACUACUGAGCCACCCAAGUGUCCCUACUCUGAGCUUUCUGUCUCUCGAAGCUGACUCUUACCUGAUCCAGCUCCACAGGAAGAAUUCAGCAAGAUACACACGGAGCCACCGAGAGGGAAUUCUGGUUUCAGUCCUGAGGUUAAGGGAGAAAACAGAACUAUGUGUCAUGACUUUGCUGUGGUUUGUGGAAGAAGGAACAGGUAUGACAAGGAAUGAUAAUUAUAAAUGCUGAGAUUUAAGGAAGUCUCACGUUCAGUGCUGUGAGAAGGAAAAAAGAAAAAAGAAGCUGU